AACAUCUCUUCUUGUGAGUUUUUGAAGUAUAGCCUGCCCACUGAAUUUAUUGAAGGGCCGCGGUAUUUUGACCGUGCAAAGGUAGCAUAAUCAUUAGUUCUUUAAUUGUGAACUGGUAUGAAUGGCUUGACGAGAUACUAUCUGUCUUUUUGGAAUUAUGUUGUUGAAUUUGGUUUUUGGGUAAAAAUACCUAAAUUUUGUUAUGGGACGAGAAGACCCUAUAGAGUUUUAUGUAGCUUUCUUUCUUUGGUUUGAUUAAAUUUUGUUGAGUUAUUCUGCAUUUUGUUGGGGUGAUGGGAGAAUAAGUUAAACUUCUCUUCUUGUAAUUUACUUAUUUGUAUUUUUUU
rnacentral:rRNA from 1 species